rnacentral:rRNA from 1 species
UACGUAGGGGGCGAGCGUUAUCCGGAAUUAUUGGGCGUAAAGAGUGCGUAGGUGGUCUUGUAAGCGUGGGGUAAAAGGCUAUGGAUUAACCAUAGUUCGCCUUGCGAACUGCAGGACUUGAGUGCAGGAGAGGAAAGUGGAAUUCCUAGUGUAGCGGUGAAAUGCGUAGAUAUUAGGAGGAACACCAGUGGCGAAGGCGACUUUCUGGACUGUUACUGACACUGAGGCACGAAAGCGUGGGGAGCAAACAGG